rnacentral:tRNA from 1 species
GCGCGUUUGGCGAAGCGGGAACGCAACCGGCUGUGAACCGGCUAUGGACGGGUUCGACCCCCGUAACGCGCCCCA